rnacentral:rRNA from 1 species
GUACGGGACGCAGCAGUGGGGAAUAUUGCACAAUGGGCGAAAGCCUGAUGCAGCAACGCCGCGUGAGCGAUGAAGGCCUUCGGGUCGUAAAGCUCUGUCCUCCAGGAAGAUAAUGACGGUACUUGAGGAGGAAGCCCCGGCUAACUACGUGCCAGCAGCCGCGGUAAUACGUAGGGGGCUAGCGUUAUCCGGAAUUACUGGGUGUAAAGGGCGUGCAGCCGGGCUGACAAGUCAGAUGUGAAAUCCCGCGGCUCAACCGCGGAACUGCAUUUGAAACUGUCAGUCUUGAGUACCGGAGAGGUCAU